CGGUGACUAUUCUUGCUAUUCUGAUUUCUUAAUAAUCAGGGCAGACUCAACAUUCACUAUAUUAAGACCAUGCAUAUGUGUCCCCAGGCCUAGUUCUUUCCCUAGGUCUGGUUUUAUAAAUUCUGGUGAUAAAU
rnacentral:snoRNA from 1 species